AGCAGUAGCCGCGGUAAUACGUAGGUGGCAAGCGUUGUCCGGAAUUAUUGGGCGUAAAGGGCUCGCAGGCGGUUUCUUAAGUCUGAUGUGAAAGCCCCCGGCUCAACCGGGGAGAGUCAUUGGAAACUGGGAAACUUGAGUGCAGAAGAGGAGAGUGGAAUUCCACGUGUAGCGGUGAAGUGCGUAGAGAUGUGGAGGAACACCAGUGGCGAAGGCGACUCUCUGGUCUGUAACUGACGCUGAGGAGCGAAAGCGUGGGGAUCGAACAGGAUUAGAUACCCCAGUAGUCCCUGUCUCUUAUAC
rnacentral:rRNA from 1 species